GGAGUUGGGGGAUAAAUAAGAGGAGACCAUUGUGUUGGCUAGAAGAAAAGCAGCAGGACUGACAGCAUAAGAUUUAAAAGUGUCAAGGUAACCAGUAGGGAGUGAGAGAAGCAUGGGUAGACAACAUAACAUGGAGACAGAUUGAGUGGAAGACAUUCUGGGGGCUUUAUAGACCAUAAAGGAAGGAAGAACAUGUGCGGAGCAGAUAUUAUUUAUCGAAAUACUCAGGCACCCCGUGAAUAUUAUUACUAUUAUUUUUGUUUUUCACAGUAUCUCAUUACAUAAAAAUUCAUGAUCUAGCUGAAGAUGAACUGUUUUCUCUGCCUGCUGUGAUUGGAAAUAACAGUUAUAAGAAAUGGAAAAGCUUCUAUGUGUUGCCCUGUUAAUGAAUUUUAAAUGUCGACUCCCAACACAGUAUAUGUAAUUCCAGAUUGGCUUUUCCAUAAUGCAGCCUUUGUUCUAGUUAUCAGUUUCAAAAUUUCUCACUGAGGAGAAAUGGAAAGAUUUUUAUCCACAUGUAGAAAGGUAAAAGAGGAAAAAAAAAAAAAGAAACCUUAUCCUUUGAAAUCUUAAAGGUGUUUGUGUUUCCUUCUUUGCUCUCUCUCUGCCUCCCGCUGAGCCUUAUAAAGUGCAUCUAGAGUUCAAGUGCUAUGGGAUGUGCACCUUGCACGUGCUAGGGACACAUAUUUUCUGGAUCUUCAUUUCAACAUGAGCUUUAUUUUUAAAAAGAGGCUUUAUCACUGUGGUUUCUGAUCUGUUAGUGGUGGUUCCUCUCACAGCAGAUCAAUUUCGUGGCUUAUGUACAACAUUAAUAAAAUGAAAUAGAUUGGACUAGAAUGAAAAAAAAAUCAGCAUCUUGCACAGAGGACAUUGUUUGGUGAAACAUCUUUUGUGCCUGUGAAUGUCUGUUCUGGAUCACAACCCGAAGUGUUUUGUUUGUUUGUUUGUUUUUUUACUAUGGACCACAUUAGAAGGGCUGCAAAAAAUGCUGCUGAAAAUAUAGUUUCUUUGGGAUACAUAGUUUAUCUUUGGGAUUCUUAGGGUGUAUUCCAUCUAUAAGUGUACUGAAAAGUAGAUCAAGUUGUGGGUUUGGAUGUCAGCUCUGCCAGUAACACCCUUCUGUGGGUGCCUCUACUUACUCAUCUAUGAAAUGGGGUGGGGAGGACCCGUAGGAUUUUAGUUGUGUAAGUUGGGUUAACCCUUGAUUCCAACUUUUAAAAUGUGAAGCUGGGGCACCAGCUUCUGGAUCAGUUGGUUAAGCAUCUGACUCUGGGUUUCCACACAGGUCAUGCAUGAUCUUAGACUCCUGCCCUGCGUUGGGUUCUGUGUUCUGCAGGGCGUCUCCUGGUCCUGGAGAUUCUGUGCUUCUGCCCCUCCACCAAAGCAUGCUCUCUUUAUCAAGUAAAUAAAUAAAUAUUUUUUUUUUAAAAAAGGGGAAGUUAAUUCAGCCAAGGCACGCCAUCUUACAGAUUAUAAAAUUAAUGUUGAAAAGUUUUCAUGACCUAAAUAAAACUUCUUUCCUUGGUUGUAGAAAAUCAGGUGACCUUAGUGAAAAGUCAGGUCACAUUCUAACCAAGGUAAGGGGCAAUGCAAACAAAAAUAAAAGAAGGGAAGAAAGAUUUAUGUGGAAUUUUGCACUGGGCUUCUUGAAACCAAUUGUAAGAAUGCUUUGGACUCUAUAGAGGCCCUGUGAUUACAGAGGCUGUCCCAGGUUUCCAAGAUGAAAACGGUUGCUGACGUUCCCGUUAUUACAUAUUGAAAAAUAUUUCUGUAGUCUUACUUUCAUACUAUGUGUCAUCCAAAGAAAACUGCUUCACGGACUUGGCUGACAAUUAACCAAUUCAUUCUAUUGAUAAAGGGCAGCCUAUUUCAGAUGUGUGAUGUUAAGUGGAAUAUAGGUUCCUUGUAUAUACCUGGAUUACGGUAAUUCUGUGUUAUGGUUAGUAUCACUGGAAUCAUGUAAGAUAUAUUAAAGUAAAAUGAAAUUUUUUAAAAAAUUGACCAGCUUUUGUUUUCCUAAGCCCUAAAUAAAAAUGAUGGCUUUUAACAUCAUUAAAUGUGGAUUUGUAAAGCAGUGUACGCCACAAUGCCUAGCCCUAUGUGCAGACGCCAGCAUCUCAGUGGUGGGAGAAACAGGUAACAAAUAAAUCUCACUGGGGACACCCAAAGCAAGACAGAGACCAUGACUGGUGGAGACCACUGACCACGAGUGGUGGAAUACUUACUGCUUUCCAGAGACAUAAUGGAGUAAGUCCUCUUGACAUGAUGAAGUGAUAUGAACAGAGACAUUAAUUAAGAAAAGGAGCAGCAUUCCAGGCAGAAGCCAGAGCAAGAGCAGAGGCUCUGAAGUGGGAACAUGGGGGUGCCUGGGUGGCUCGGUGGGUUAAGGCUUCUGCCUUCAGCUCAAGUCAUGAUCCCAGGAUCCUAGGACUGAGCCCCACAUCAGACUCUCUGCUCAGUGGGGAGCCUGCUUCCCUUCCUCUCUCUCUGCCUGCCUCUCUGUCUACUUGUGAUCUCUGUCUGUCAAAUAAAUAAAUAAAAAUCUUAAAAAAAAAUUGAAGUGGGAACAUGCUUGGUAUAUUUGAGGAGUAUCGAGGAAACCAGUUGGUUACAGUAGAGUACAAGACAGAAAGGAUGAUAAAGUCUGAGAAGUGGCCAGGGGCCGUAUUCUGGCCUUGUAAACCAUGCUAAUGACCUUGCUUUUUUUCUUCUGUAAGACUGAAGAAGGGAUCUAAAAGUUCUUAGUAGAGUAGUGGUAAGAUCUGAGGUUUUUUUUUUUUUUUGCUUUGUUUUUUAAGAUUUUAUUUAUUUGAUAAUAGCGAUCACAAGUAGGCAGAGAGGCAGGCAGAGAGAGAGGGAGAGGGGAGCAGGCUCCUUGCUGAGCAGAGAGCCCGAUUUGGGGCUCGAUCCCAGGACCCUGAGAUCAUGACCUGAACUUAAGGCACAGGCUUAACCCACUGAGCCACCCAGGUGCCCCUGAUUUUGCUUUUAAAAACAUCACUGAGGGAUGUCUAGGUGGCUCAGUGGGUUAAAGCCUCUGCCUUGGGCUCAGGUCAUGAUCCCAGGGUCCUGGGAUGGAGCGCUACAUCGGGCUCUGUGCGAAGCAGGGAGCCUGCUUCCCUUCCUCUCUUUCUGCCUACCUCUCUGCCUACUUGUGAUCUCUGUCUGUCAAAUAAGUAAAUAAAGGGGCGCCUGGGUGGCUCAGUGGGUUAAGCCGCUGCCUUCGGCUCAGGUCAUGAUCUCAGGGUCCUUGGAUCGAGUUUCGCAUCCUGCUCUCUGCUCAGCAGGGAGCCUGCUUCCUCCUCUCCUCUCUCUUCCUGCCUCUCUGCCUACUUGUGAUCUCUCUCUGUCAAAUAAAUAAAUAAAAAAUUAAAAAAAUAAUAAGUAAAUAAAAUCUUUAAAAAAAUAAAAACAAAAACAAAAACAUCACUGGCCACUCACUACCUGGAGCGUGGUGUAUAGGAAAGAAAGGAAGAAAAAGAAAUGAAGAAGGGACACCAACCAAAUGACUAUUGCAAAUAUUUGGAGCAGUGUUGAUAAUGACUUUGACUGAGAGGUGUAGAGCUAUUGGGAAAAAAUCUUAGAGUUUUGGUCUGGGAAAGUGGAAGACUUGAGGUGCCAUGGCCUACGUUGGGAAGGAAGAAGCACAUUUAAUCAGAAAAACUCAGAGUUUGGUUUUUUUGGAUAUUUAAAGUUUAAAGGAUCUCUUAGACUUCUGUCUGAUGAUCGCAUAUUUGGAUAUACUGGUGUUCAGAGGCAAGGUUGGCCACGGAGUUGUUAAGUGAAUAUUUAAAUCCCAAAGCUAAGUGAGGUCUCUUCAGGGAUGUAGGUAUAGAAGAAAAAGGACUGAUCCCUAAGCCUGGGGCCUCCAGCAUUUAAACUUCGAAAGAUGAAAAAGGGCCAGGAAGGAGAAGGAGAAUGGUAUAUACCCAAGGGAAUUGAAAGUAGGGGCGUCACACAGUUAUUUGUACACCAGUGUUCACAGUGGCAUUAUUCACAACAGCCAAAAGGUGGAGACAACUCAUAUGUCCAUUGCUGGGAAUGAAAUUCUAACUUCUGCCAUAGGCUCUAACAUGGAUAAGCUUUGAAGACUAUACAUGAAAUAGGCCAGACACAAAAGGACACAUAUUGUAGGAUUCCACCUGUACGAGGUAACUAGAGUAGGCAAAUCCGUAGAACCAGAAAGUAGAAUGGCAGUUUCCAGGGAGUCCGAAGAGAGGAGAAGAAGAGAAUGGGAAGUUAUCAUAUAAUGGGUACAGAGUUUCAGUUUAAGAAAAUUAAAAAGUUUUGCAGUUGAAUGGUGCUUGAUGGCGCAUAACACAGUAAUGAAUAUUGCCUAAGUUCAGUAACCUAUACACUUGAAAAUCAUUAAGAUGGUAAAUUUGGUGUCAUGCCUAUCUUACCACAAUUAAAAAAAAAAAAAAAGGAAAAGACAGAAGGAAUAACAAGUGAGGAGGAAGAAGAAUCAGUAGAGAGUAUUUUUUGGAUAUCUAAAAAAGUAUUUCAAGAAGGAAAGCGUAGUCAUCUAGGUAAAAUGAUGGGAUUUCCUUCUAAUUUUUUCCCCUCACCUCUUUGUAUACUUUCAAUUUUAUUGAAGAUACCAUUUUAUAUAUGCUUUGAUUUCCCCCCCCUAUAUUCGUAGCAUUUCCUGCUAAUAUCUAACAUCGGCUAUUUAUUUAAGGGUUGUCAGAUCCCAAAUAGCUCAUCAUAGGAGCUGGAUGCCAAUGUAUAAAUCUCAUAAUGAGCUGUUAUUUGGAUGUUCUACAACAGUGGUUUCAAUGAAUCAUCCAUGAGGCCGGGAGUUGAAAUGAGUGCUUUAUUUAUUGUCCCCCUUUGCUGAUUAUAAGCUAUUUCCCUGACUUUGUACAGAUUCCACCAUUGUGUGAAGCCACAGUCAUGAAAAUGUGAUGCAGACAUUUGAAGUUGAGGGAAGAAGAAAACCCUUUACCCAGCAAAAUAAAGGAUCCUCUCCCUCUCUCCUAGUCGCCGAGGAGCUCUACCUUUGGCCAGUGUUCUUGGUUCCACCUAUUUCUUAAUUUACCUGACAUGUGGCAAGAGUUUUUGUUAGUUUGUUGUCAUCCUAUUUCCAUAAAAGUAUUUAUUUACAUCUUUAGUAAAUGGAGAAAAAUAGAGCUUAAAAUUUCACAGAAUUAUCUCUGUGUAAUGGUUUUGACAGCUAGUCACAUUUAUCUCCAGAUGUAAAUUAUAUGGCAUGGUUCCUUUCUUAUGUUCAUUAAAUUCCAUAGAUGUCAGUGGUUUGGUUUCCUUGGAAACAAAAACCUUUAUAUAACUAGUUGGAGAUUUGGUAGCAGAAAUAUCAGGAUGAGGUGGGGAGUAAGGAAACAUCGCGAUGCUGAUUACCUCCCUCAGUAGGUAACUGUUUGCAUUUAAAACUCUUCUAUCUUUCCAUCUUUCCCUCAUCCUCAUGGCCAUUCAGUAGUGCCCAAGGGAAAAUUUUAAAAGUGACCAUUUAAGUAUAGAAUAUCUUCUAAUGGUUAAAAGCUUUUUACUUUUUUUUUUUCAAGUAAUCACAGAGAGGCUAAGUCUUUUUUGGGAUGUUGGUGUAAAUUCCCACAUUUGAGAAGAGUAUGUCUCUUAGGAAGAAUUGAAUUUGAGCAUUUGAGCAGUGCCGACAUAACUCAGUGUAUAUGCAUAUCCAUCUGUGAAGUACAGCUAACAGAACAUGUGUGUGGCUGAAUAAAGCUUUUAUAUUUUUUUUAUGAUGGCAAGUGUCUGUCUUAGUACUCUACUGCCAAAGAGUUCAAAAGGUCCCCAAAAGGUUCUGGAGAGGGAAUGGGGGACCACAGUUCUGCCCAGAGGUAAUAGCAGGCCAAGGGCAUGGCAGCCGUGGGCAUUCUCACUUGGCCCAGAGUCGACCCCUUGUUGAAGACAAGAUUAGUAACAUGAGUUAUCUAAACCGCUAGUCUUUUCAGAACCAUUUUGCCAUUGCUCCUAUCUGAUAUAAUUUGAAUCUAAAUCUAAACCCAAU